GACGAGCGCUGGCGGCGUGCUUAACACAUGCAAGUCGAACGAUGAGACCGGAGCUUGCUCCGGUGGAUUAGUGGCGAACGGGUGAGUAACACGUGAGUAACCUGCCCUUGACUCUGGGAUAACUGCGGGAAACUGUAGCUAAUACCGGAUACGACCCUCGGAGGCAUCUCCUGGGGGUGGAAAGAAUUUCGGUCAAGGAUGGACUCGCGGCCUAUCAGCUAGUUGGUGAGGGAACGGCUCCCCAAGGCGACGACGGGUAGCCGGCCUGAGAGGGUGGCCGGCCACACUGGGACUGAGAACCGGCCCAGACUUCUACGGGAGGAAUCAGUGGGGAAUAUUGCACAUUGGGCGCAAGCCUGAUGCAGCAACGCCGCGUAAGGGAUGACGGCCUUCGGGUUGUAAACCUCUUUUAGUAGGGAAGAAGCGAAAGUGACGGUACCUGCAGAAAAAGCACCGGCUAACUACGUGCCAGCAGCCGCGGUAA
rnacentral:rRNA from 1 species